UCCCGAUCGGUAGUUAGUCAAAUUUUUGGCCGUUUUCUUCGCUUCGCCCUUGACAUUUUUCGACGAGGAUCGGCACUUUUUCGCCAACCGUCCACCUCCCUCGCGUAUAAAAAGAACCUCCGCUCAGAGCAGACCAUCAAAUCUUCUGUGACUUUCGUGCUUAGUGCUUCAACGAUCCUCAAAACACAAUCACCAUGUUCAAGCUGUUGGCUGUCCUUAGCUCCCUCCUGGUUGCGGCUUUCGCCGCUUACAUCCCGGCCGCCCCCGCCUACUACGGCGCCUACCCUUACGCCGCCCCGGUGGCCCCGGUCGCCUACCGCUACCCGGCCCCCGUCUACCAUGCCCCCAUCGCCGCCCCCGCCUACGUACCCCCAGUCCGCUAUGCCCCCUACCCCGCCGUCCCAGCCGUCAGCUACGUCGCCCACAAGUGAAUUGAUACACUUCAAUGAACCAACGCUGGCUGCCUUUAUGCUUCAUUUCAUCACACCCUAGUUACCAUGGUCUCAACUUUUGAAGACCAUCAUCAAACAAUUCAUCUUUCGAGCCAACAUCAAUUUUGUAAAAAUUCAUAAUGCAUCAAAUACAUUUUCAUCUCUGACUGAAUCAUUUGUUAGUUGUGUUUUUUUCGAAAUGGAUUGAAAGCAUUGAAAGCACCCU
rnacentral:lncRNA from 1 species